GAUCCAGUGGCACGCGGGGUGUGUCUGCUUUAAAUUCAGCUUGGGGCGUGGGCUUUAUGCGGGAGGUCCUGGUUCGACUCCAGGCUGAGUCA